CCAACGGCCCUCUUUAGGGCCACACUUUGCUUUUCGAAUAACAUUU
rfam:Necator americanus N_americanus-1.0_Cont1216.2, whole genome shotgun sequence.